CAGUACAGUCCAGGAUGAUGAUGACUGCUGCUCUCUGGCUUCUAGCAGCUGUGUGACAACAGCAGAUGGUUCAUUGUGUCAGUGCUCGGCCCAGCCACAUUGCACGUAACUCCACAAACUCAAAGUACACACGUGUCUCGCCAAGGCAAAAGUAUGCCACACAAGAGGCGACGGAGUGAACCAAGUCAAACAGUUUCCGCGUAUCAACAACAAUGGCGCCUUUCUCUUGUGGCCCCACAGCCUCCAGAAGAGCUUUUGGCGACUCCUCCAAGACCUCAGCCACACUCUCAUCAUGUUGCUGAAUCCGACAUGCCCCAGGAAACACAGCAGGACACAUUGAGUGAUGACAAUUCUGUGCAGCAACAGCAGCCUUCUUCACCAACCCGACCAAUGUCGCCCAAAAAUGAGGUCAUCACCCACACAGACACCACCAACUGCUCAACUGACCACACAAACACCACAGGUGGAAAUCCGUGAAACAGAUUUCUUGGACAGGUGGUCACAGCAGCAAACCAUCGUUGGUGACUAGAUCAAACGACAAACCCAAUUUCAGGCAAGUCUGCCACAUCACCUCCCACACAUAUCACGAAAUAGCAGCAGACUGAACCUCCAAAUGACCUGUAUUGCUAAUACCCUUGAGCAAAUAUGUGCAGACAAUGUGCAAAACAACCAUGCCAUUAUCAGAGUAAUGGAUGAUCAGCUUAGACACCAACAGCAGUUCAUCAACAUCAUGCAAAACAAUCUGCUUCUAAUGCAAAGUUUAUCUAGAACAAUAGAGCAAAAUUCGGAUGCCAAUACUCAACUGUCCGGCAGUAUAAACAAUCUUAGCCAGAACAUUUUAUCGAUUCAACAACAAACCCAAGCAGCAAGCUCCUCAACCACCACACCCAGCAUCACCCCAGUUACCUCCCCAGUACGGAGAUCCCAGAGAACCCGAAGUAAUGUUGCUGGACAGGGAUCAUCUUCGUCCAAAAAGCAACAACUAAAAUGACACCUGAAACUUCCGCCAAAAAUGUUUUUGUUCAGAAAAUAAGUCAAUCUGGUUAAUUUUUCAAGUUAUUGUUUUUUUUAAUUUUGUUUUCUACAUUUAUACAUUAAUUUAUCAACACAUAGGGGUAUAUUUACUAAGGUCCCGAUUUUGACCGAGAUGCCGUUUUUUCUUCAAAGUGUCAUCUCGGUAAUUUACUAAGCAAAAAUCACGGCAGUGAUGAGGGCAUUCGUAAUAUUUUGGAAGUCCUAGGAAAAAAUCACGAAUCAAUACACCAUCGGUCAAAUACGCCUGCAAUUUGCUAGAAAUCGGUCAUUUACUAAAAAGUGCAAAACACAAACACUGCCGACAAUAGCCAAACACUGCCGUGAUAAAAUACAAAUCGUGAAAAAGUGCUAAAAAAAAACAGACCUGCUUUUUUAUCAUACAGUACAGGAGCACACAGCCGAUCAGGAGGGUGCCACAACGUGGCGCUCCCUGAUUGGCUGAAGAAACCCACUUAGACAUCAGUCAGAGUGGGUUUCUGGCAUUCGGGGAAAGGGGGCCCAUGUGAAAACAUGGGUCCCCUUUCAGUUCGUGGUCGGGUAUCCGUUUUUUUAUUUUUUCAAGUACGUGGAUUACAAAAGGAUUUACCGAGGAGCCGAAAACACUGGAUUAUGUGAGUAUAAUUUUUUCUACAGGUACACCAUGGAUUCUACUGGAGAAGAGGACCGACCUGCGUGGGAACAUAAGGUAAGUAUGUGUAUAUGGAGGUGUGGAUGGAUGUAUUAAAGUUAUACUUUCAAGGUGUGUGUGUGUUGUCUUUAUUGGAGUAUUUUUUUAGUAGUAGUACUACAGGUACCAGCGGGCCCGUUUUUCCGCCGCAUGCUGGUACUUGUGGUUCUCCAAGUACCAGCUUGCGGGGGAGGCUUGCUGGGCCUUGUAGUACUGCUACUAAAAACAAUAUCAAUCACUUUUCACAAAGGCUAUCAGCCCCCCAUCCGCAGCCCAUUGGAUGGGGGGGACAGCCUUGGGCUUCACCCCUGGCCCUUGGGUGGCUGGGGGGGGGGGAACCCCUUGAUUGAAGGGGUCCCCACUCCCCCAGGGUACCCCGGCCAGGGGUGACUAGUUGGACAUUUGAUGCCACGGCUGCAAGGCACUGUAUAAAAGUGACCCCCGGCUGUGGCAUUACCUGUCCAGCUAGUGGAGCCCGGUGCUGGUUUCAAAAAUACGGGGGACCCCUACGCUUUUUGUCCCCCGUAUUUUUGGAACCAGGACCAGGCGCAGAGCCCGAUGCUGGUUGCUUAAAUAUGGGGGAACCCCUGUCCAUUUUUUCCCCAUAUUUCUGCAACCAGGAUCGGCUCAAAGAGCCCGAGGCUGGUUUGCCUUAGGAGGGGGGACCCCACGCAAUUUUUUUUUUACAUUUAAACAUUUUUUAUUUUUUUUACAAGCUGCACAAUGAAGCCCAGCACGGAUCUCUCAGAUCCGGCCGAGAUUCAUUGUAUUAAAGUCGGCAGUGUUUUACAAGUCACUCACGUAAAACACUGCCAAAAAAAAAGAAUGACAUCGACAUCGGAAAACCCGAAAAUGCAGAAUACGGCAGCUUAGUAAAUUAGUCGUAAUCAAUUCAAAAAGUUGCAUAUUUACACUUUCGAUGUCAUUCGUGAUUGAACUUUGACCUCAAACGGGAAAAUACGAAUCUUAGUAAA